rnacentral:rRNA from 1 species
GACGAACGCUGGCGGCGUGCUUAACACAUGCAAGUCGAACGGAAAGGCCCUGCUUUUGUGGGGUGCUCGAGUGGCGAACGGGUGAGUAACACGUGAGUAACCUGCCCUUGACUUUGGGAUAACUUCAGGAAACUGGGGCUAAUACCGGAUAGGAGCUCCUGCUGCAUGGUGGGGGUUGGAAAGUUUCGGCGGUUGGGGAUGGACUCGCGGCUUAUCAGCUUGUUGGUGGGGUAGUGGCUUACCAAGGCUUUGACGGGUAGCCGGCCUGAGAGGGUGACCGGCCACAUUGGGCCUGCGAUACGGCCCAGACUCCUACGGGAGGCAGCAGUGGGGAAUAUUGCACAAUGGGCGGACGCCUGAUGCAGCAACGCCGCGUGCGGGAUGACGGCCUUCGGGUUGUAAACCGCUUUCGCCUGUGACGAAGCGUGAGUGACGGUAAUGGGUAAAGAAGCACCGGCUAACUACGUG